rnacentral:rRNA from 1 species
CCUACGGGCGGCAGCAGUGAGGAAUCUUGGUCAAUGGCCGAGAGGCUGAACCAGCCAAGUCGCGUGAGGGAAGAAUGUCCUAUGGAUUGUAAACCUCUUUUGUCAGGGAGCAAAGUCACCCACGUGUGGGUGUUGGGGAGUACCCGAAGAAAAAGCAUCGGCUAACUCCGUUCCAGCAGCGGCGGUAAUAGGGAGGAUGCGAGCGUUAUCCGGAUUUAUUGGGUUUAAGGGGUGCGAAGGCGGGUUAUCAAGUCAGCGGUAAAAUCGUGGAGCUCAACUCCAUCCAGCCGUUGAAACUGAUGAUCUUGAGUGGGCGAGGAGUAUGCGGAAUGCGUGGUGUAGCGGUGAAAUGCGUAGAUAUCGCGCGGAACUCCGGUUGCGAAGGCAGCAUACCGGAGCCCGACUGACGCUGAAGCACGAAAGCGUGGGUAUCGAACAGGAUUAGAUACCCCUGUAGUC